UGGGGAAUAUUGGACAAUGGGCGCAAGCCUGAUCCAGCAAUGCCGCGUGGGUGAAGAAGGUUUUCGGAUCGUAAAGCCCUUUCGACGGGGACGAUGAUGACGGUACCCGUAGAAGAAGCCCCGGCUAACUUCGUGCCAGCAGCCGCGGUAAUACGAAGGGGGCUAGCGUUGCUCGGAAUUACUGGGCGUAAAGGGCGCGUAGGCGGCCUGGUGAGUGAGGCGUGAAAUUCCCGGGCUUAACCUGGGGACUGCGCUUCAUACUGCUGGGCUUGAGGAUGGAAGAGGGUCGUGGAAUUCCCAGUGUAGAGGUGAAAUUCGUAGAUAUUGGGAAGAACACCGGUGGCGAAGGCGGCGACCUGGUCCAUUACUGACGCUGAGGCGCGACAGCGUGGGGAGCAAACAGG
rnacentral:rRNA from 1 species